rnacentral:rRNA from 1 species
UACGGAGGGAGCUAGCGUUGUUCGGAAUUACUGGGCGUAAAGCGCACGUAGGUGGCUUGGCAAGUCGGGUGUGAAAUCCCCGGGCUCAACCUGGGAACUGCAUUCGAGACUGCCUUGCUAGAGUAUGGGAGAGGGAAGUGGAAUUUCCGGUGUAGCGGUGAAAUGCGUAGAUAUCGGAAGGAACAUCAGUGGCGAAGGCGACUUCCUGGACCAAUACUGACACUCAGGUGCGAAAGCGUGGGGAGCAAACAGG